rnacentral:rRNA from 1 species
AACGAACGCUGGCGGCAGGCUUAACACAUGCAAGUCGAACGCCCCGCAAGGGGAGUGGCAGACGGGUGAGUAACGCGUGGGAACGUGCCCGUCGCUUCGGAAUAGCCCCGGGAAACUGGGAGUAAUACCGGAUACGCCGUAGUGGGAAAGAUUUAUCGGCGAAGGAUCGGCCCGCGAUAGAUUAGAUAGUUGGCGGUGUAAUGGACCACCAAGCCUACGAUCUAUAGCUGGUCUGAGAGGAUGAUCAGCCACACUGGGACUGAGACACGGCCCAGACUCCUACGGGAGGCAGCAGUGGGGAAUCUUGGACAAUGGGCGCAAGCCUGAUCCAGCCAUGCCGCGUGAGUGAAGAAGGCCUUAGGGUUGUAAAACUCUUUCGCCGGAGAAGAUAAUGACGGUAUCCGGAGAAGAAGCCCCGGCUAACUUCGUGCCAGCCGCCGCAGUAAGAC